rnacentral:rRNA from 1 species
UACGGAGGGGGCGAGCGUUAUUCGGAAUUAUUGGGCGUAAAGGGCGCGUAGGCGGCUCGAUAAGUCAAAGGUGAAAUCCCUCGGCUCAACUGAGGAACUGCCUUUGAAACUGUCGAGCUUGAGUCCGGGAGGGGUAGCGGAAUUCCCAGUGUAGCGGUGAAAUGCGUAGAUAUUGGGAGGAACACCAGUGGCGAAGGCGGCUACCUGGACCGGAACUGACGCUGAGGCGCGAAAGCGUGGGUAGCAAACAGGA